CCGUACUAGAUGGGGAGGUAGCGGUGCCCUAUAACCUGCAAUCCGCUAUAGCAGGGUUGAAGUCCCACGCCGAGGCAAGAUAUUGUACAGUCUGGUCGAUGUAAGCGGCGAAGAAGACUGGGUCCUGUGCAACGGGAAUUUACGAACCCCGCCAGGUCCGGAAGGAAGCAGCGGUAAGUAAACACUUCCGUGUGCCGCAGGGCAACCUGGUCCGAGCCGGCUGCAUCGGUGCCGUGUAUGAUAUCUUGUCGAAGGUGGGUGUACG
rnacentral:SRP_RNA from 1 species